GGCGAAGCGGAAGGCAGCGCCUCUUGGUCUUUCUCCGAGGAGGUGGCUCUCAAAGCUCAGGGAGGCCAGGACCCGGUGGAUGCGGGAUUCACAGCCAUCUCCUGUCUCCCUUUGGAGUGCCAGGGCUCGGACGGACCCCAGAGAGCCUGGCAUCAGAGCUCACGGAACAUUUCUUUCCGAGGCAGGGAGCCAUCAGAUCUGCACUCUGAGGCUGAGCUGGUGUCCACGCUUACACCUGCUGCAGUGUCUGCUGUACUCUCAGCUGGGGUCGAGAAUGAUACUCGGGGACAGCGCUAUACCAGAGCACAUGAGGAGAGCCCAGCAUAGCUGAGAUCUGUACCAAGCCUCCAAGCGCUUUGCAGAGCCCAGCCUCGUAAGCUAAAGGGUAGGUGACCUCACGAC
rnacentral:lncRNA from 1 species